rnacentral:rRNA from 1 species
UACGUAGGCAGCGAGCGUUGUUCGGAGUUACUGGGCGUAAAGGGUGUGUAGGCGGUUUUCUAAGUUUGGUGUGAAAUCUCCCGCUCAACCGGGAGGGUGCGCCGAAAACUGGGAGACUAGAGUGCGGGAUGGGAGAGUAGAAUUCCUGGUGUAGCGGUGAAAUGCGUAGAUAUCAGGAGGAAUACCGGUGGUGUAGACGGCUCUCUGGACCGCCACUGACGCUGAGACAACGAACGUGGGGUAGCAAACAGGG